rnacentral:rRNA from 1 species
ACGCUAGCGGCAGGCCUAACACAUGCAAGUCGAGGGGUAACGAUGUCUUCGGACAGGCGACGACCGGCGCACGGGUGAGUAUCGCGUUUGUAACCUACCUUUAACUGGAGCAUAGCCCGAAGAAAUUCGGAUUAAUACUCCAUAACACUAUGAACUGGCAUCUUUUUAUAGUUAAAGCUCCGGCGGUUAAAGAUGGGCAUGCGUAACAUUAGAUAGUUGGUGAGGUAACGGCUCACCAAGUCUACGAUGUUUAGGGGGUCUGAGAGGAUGGUCCCCCACACUGGUACUGAGACACGGACCAGACUCCUACGGGAGGCAGCAGUGAGGAAUAUUGGUCAAUGGGCGCAAGCCUGAACCAGCCAUGCCGCGUGAAGGAUGACAGCGCUACGCGUUGUAAACUUCUUUUGUACAGGAAGAAACACUUCUACGUGUAGAAGCUUGACGGUACUGUACGAAUAAGCAUCGGCUAACUCCGUGCCAGCAGCCGCGGUAAUACGGAGGAUGCAAGCGUUAUCCGGAUUUAUUGGGUUUAAAGGGUACGUAGGCGGAAAAUUAAGUCAGUAGUGAAAUCCUGCAGCUUAACUGUAGAACUGUUAUUGAUACUGGUUUUCUUGAAUAUAGUUGAGGUAGGCGGAAUGUGUAAUGUAGCGGUGAAAUGCUUAGAUAUUACACAGAACACCGAUUGCGAAGGCAGCUUACUAAGCUAUGAUUGACGCUGAGGUACGAAAGCGUGGGGAGCGAACAGGAUUAGAUACCCUGGUAGUCCACGCCGUAAACGAUGAUCACUCGUUGUUGGCAUACACAGUCAGCGACUGAGCGAAAGCAUUANUGAUCACUGGGGAGUACGCUC